ensembl:lncRNA
AAUGCAUCGCAUGAUUUUCUGGUUGUGGAUCUGCUUUUGUUCACACUAGCUGUGAAAACUGCUUAUAUAAAAGUAUACAAAAAAUUAUAUUAAUAAUUAGUAAAACUUGAAUUGAACCCAAAAUAUAUGUUCAAGACUCUGAAACUACCUCUUUAAAUAUGAAAAUACCAUUAGAUAAUGACCCUGCGGAAUGUAAUGUUGCUAUUUAACGAUAUGAUGUAACAUUCACAAAAAUGCUACAAAAUAAAAUGGAAUAAACCGUAAAACAAAGAAAAGGAAAAAGUCAUGGUGAAUUCAAUUAAAUAUUUACAUUUUCAAAAAAAAUUAUAACCUGCACAUCAACCUGCAACACACACGCACGCACGCACACACGCACGCACACACACACACACACACACACACAUGCGCGCGCGCACACACACACACACGUAUAUAUAUUGCUAUUUUGAAGUAAACAAAAGCCCAAACAAUCAAUGGUGAAUCAAACUACUGUAACAUCAGGUAAGUGGAGCUUCCUAAAAAUACAUGGAUGGUGAAUGUAUGAACACAUGCAAGUUAACUAAAAACUGGGGAUUUGUGACCCUUUAAAGUAACAAUAUGUGAACAUUUUAUCUACAUAUUUGCAUCAAUAUGGAUUUAUUGGUGAUUGCUAACUUUGAUUGUCUGCUGUUUUAGUGUCCGCCCCUUUGACACACACACACACACACACACACACACACACAUACUACAUACCGUCACAGAUGACAUUUCGACCUGUUUUUCCUUCACUGAAUGUCAUGACAGGGUCUGUCCAGCUCCAGGAAACAGGGAAUGGAGGGACCCAGCGGGGCUGCUGAGCUCCUGUGGUCUGUAUGGCCUGAGGGGGUCAAAGGUCGCAGGAGACACAACAGGAGAGCACUCAGUCCUGACUCAAAGCUACAAAGAGCCUCUCGUAGCUCAGACAGAAAGACAGAGCUGGAAUUCUACAACAAUGUGGCAGUAAUUCUGUGAGCUUUACCCACAAAUCCAUCAUCUCUCUGCUAUAGUCAUCAUCAGCCAUUUUUUACAUUAUUUUUUUAAACAAAAUGGAUGCUUCACUGGUGCCAUUUGGGAUCAACAGCUCUGAAGAGAAAUGUUCCCUCAGCUGUGAAGCUCAGGAAUGGAGAAUUUUUCAUCAUGAGCCGAUGGUCUGUUUUUCUCUCAUUCACAUUCAAUUUUGGGCUCAUUGAAUCCAGCUGAGUCCAACCAUGAAGCUUCUUUAGAGGCAGCCAGAAGAUGAGCUACACCAGACAACCUGGCAUCAGACUUUCUUCAUGCAUUAUUCAAGCAAAAUGGGUCACCAUGUGUAUGCUAAUAUAUCUGACCAAAAAUAAUUAAAUCAUUCAGAGCUCCCAUUUAUUUGGUUGACAAGCUUUGUUGACUCACUUCUUCUGGCUCACACAUUCUUUUGUACAUCUAUAGUCUUCCUGUCUUAAAUCCCUCUGUUAUUAAAACAUUAUUAGAUUAAAUAGUGUCUGGCUUUACGCUGACACCCUGCCUGCUAUCUCCACAUCACAAGCUGGACAAACACUGAAACCCUGGUAUUCUGUAUGUGUGGUGAGGGUUUAAAUCAUUCGCUCUGAUAAAAUCAACACCAUUUUAUAAAUGGAUGGUCUAUGUCUAUAGUAUAGUUCAACUAUGACCUAUACUCUGGAAAAAAAUGAUCUGGAUGUACAAUAGCAUAGAGUGAAGUAAAAUGGGUCUUCUGCAAUCAACUGAAAUUCCAAUAAAUUAAAAUAACUCUAAAUUAAAUAAACUAUGUUGAUUAUAAUAGAGCUAUAGCAAAAGUGGACUGC